rnacentral:sRNA from 1 species
AUUUUAAAAUUUUAUAAAUAUUGAUUCAAAUGCAACCACCAUAUAACCCAAUUCCAAAAUAAAACCCGUUUUGUAUUUUGAAUAUUCGGUAUAUUUUGCUUCAGUUUAGGAAAUCUUUGAUGACCCGACUUUAGAUCCAAUAAACCCUAUAAUUAAGAAAUGAAUAUUGUCGUUAAAUGAUUUUGAUAACCUUAAUGACGUCAUUAAAAGAUUUUGUUUUUUAUUAAAUUU